rnacentral:rRNA from 1 species
UACGUAGGUGACGAGCGUUAUCCGGAAUUAUUGGGCGUAAAGCGCCCGCAGGCGGCUGUUCAAGUCUGACGUGAAAUCGCUCGGCUUAACUGGGCGGGGUCGUUGGAAACUGAAUAGCUUGAGGCAAGGAGAGGGGCGUGGAAUUCCCGGUGUAGUGGUGGAAUGCGUAGAUAUCGGGAGGAACAUCAGUGGCGAAAGCGGCGCCCUGGCCUUAGCCUGACGCUCAGGGGCGAAAGCGUGGGGAGCGAACGGG